rnacentral:rRNA from 1 species
GAUGAACGCUGGCGGCGUGCCUAAUACAUGCAAGUCGAGCGAACGGACGAGAAGCUUGCUUCUCUGAUGUUAUCGGCGGACGGGUGAGUAACACGUGGAUAACCUACCUAUAAGACUGGGAUAACUUCGGGAAACCGGAGCUAAUACCGGAUAAUAUUUUGAACCGCAUGGUUCAAAAGUGAAAGACGGUCUUGCUGUCACUUAUAGAUGGAUCCGCGCUUCAUUAGCUAGUUGGUAAGGUAACGGCUUACCAAGGCAACGAUGCAUAGCCGACCUGAGAGGGUGAUCGGCCACACUGGAACUGAGACACGGUCCAGACUCCUACGGGAGGCAGCAGUAGGGAAUCUUCCGCAAUGGGCGAAAGCCUGACGGAGCAACGCCGCGUGAGUGAUGAAGGUCUUCGGAUCGUAAAACUCUGUUAUUAGGGAAGAACAUAUGUGUAAGUAACUGUGCACAUCUUGACGGUACCUAAUCAGAAAGCCACGGCUAACUACGUG